GCAUGGUAAGUUGCCCUUUAAUUGGGGGCUGGUAUGAAAGGAUGAACGUGGCCCUCGCUGUCUCUAUUGAUAUUUAAUUUAAAUUAGGUUUUAAGUGAAGACACUUGAAUGUGGUUAGAGGACAAGAAGACCCUGUUGAGCUUUAGUUUAUAGUUAUUUUGUGAUGUAAUGGUGGGCUUUGGUUGGGGCGGCAGAAGUCCAAUAGAGCGACUUUUUUUUUUAGGCUUUAAGCUGGAAUGGAAGAAGUGUAGUUAAUAUAGUGAAGAAAAGCUACCACAGGGGUAACAGGCUAAUCCACUCAAAGAGUUCAUAUUGAUGAGUGGGG
rnacentral:rRNA from 1 species